rnacentral:snRNA from 1 species
GUGCUGGCUUCAGCGGCACGUAUGCUAAAAUUGGAGGGAUACAGAGCAGAUUAGCAUGGCCGCUGCACAGGCAUGACAUGCAAACUCGUAAAGCAUUCUUUUAAAUU